UCUGGUUGAUCCUGCCAGUAGUUAUAUGCUUGUCUCAAAGAUUAAGCCAUGCAUGUCUAAGUACACACGAAUUAAAAGUGAAACCGCAAAAGGCUCAUUAUAUCAGUUAUGGUUCCUUAGAUCGUUAACAGUUACUUGGAUAACUGUGGUAAUUCUAGAGCUAAUACAUGCAAUUAAAACAUGAACCUUAUGGGACAUGUGCUUUUAUUAGGCUAAAACCAAGCGAUCGCAAGAUCGUUAUAUUGGUUGAACUCUAGAUAACAUGCAGAUCGUAUGGUCUUGUACCGACGACAGAUCUUUCAAAUGUCUGCCCUAUCAACUUUUGAUGGUAGUAUCUAGGACUACCAUGGUUGCAACGGGUAACGGGGAAUCAGGGUUCGAUUCCGGAGAGGGAGCCUGAGAAACGGCUACCACAUCUAAGGAAGGCAGCAGGCGCGUAAAUUACCCACUCCCAGCUCGGGGAGGUAGUGACGAAAAAUAACAAUACAGGACUCAUAUCCGAGGCCCUGUAAUUGGAAUGAGUACACUUUAAAUCCUUUAACAAGGACCAAUUGGAGGGCAAGUCUGGUGCCAGCAGCCGCGGUAAUUCCAGCUCCAAUAGCGUAUAUUAAAGUUGUUGCGGUUAAAACGUUCGUAGUUGAACUUGUGCUUCAUACGGGUAGUACAACUUACAAUUGUGGUUAGUACUAUACCUUUAUGUAAGUUAAUAAUUACAGUUAUCGAUUUGAUUUUGAAGAUCGCAAGCGACCGUUUAUUGCAAUUUAUCAUUUGAAACUAAAUCUAGCGUACAAAAUGUUUCCCUAAGUCCCUAGCAAUCAAGUGAAGUCGUCGGCAGCGGCGCAGCAGGCGUCGGCCGCGGCGCAGCGCAGAAGUGUCGAUGUCGCGCUUAACCGUUCGUUGGCGUUGAUGGCAGCGGAGACUAUGUGGAACCACAAGAUGUUAGAGAAUCAAUUGCAGGGCAAUAACUCCUCCCCUCUUAAUUGACGCUUGUCCUCGAGCGGUCAUCAUAAGGAUGGGAUGUUUUUGAGUCGCAUCGUUGGUGGGGUGAUUCGUGGUAGUUUGGGCACAGCAUUAAUGGUUUGAAUGCCAGGUGUUUAUUGUUGCGUGCGUUCGAGGUUUGUGCAACUCGGAUGUGUUCUG
rnacentral:rRNA from 1 species